GGCCAAACUACCCUACAGACCGCGAUAACCUCGGGAAACUGAGGCCAAUAGCGGAUAUAACUCUCAGGCUGGAGUGCCGAGAGUUAGAAACGUUCCGGCGCUGUAGGAUGUGGCUGCGGCCGAUUAGGUAGAUGGUGGGGUAACGGCCCACCAUGCCGAUAAUCGGUACAGGUUGUGAGAGCAAGAGCCUGGAGACGGUAUCUGAGACAAGAUACCGGGCCCUACGGGGCGCAGCAGGCGCGAAACCUUUACACUGCACGACAGUGCGAUAGGGGGACUCCGAGUGUGAGGGCAUAUAGCCCUCGCUUUUCUGAACCGUAAGGUGGUACAGGAACAAGGACUGGGCAAGA
rnacentral:rRNA from 1 species